rnacentral:rRNA from 1 species
GGCCUGCGGAGGGAUCAUUACCGAGUUUACAACUCCCAAACCCAUGUGAACAUACCUAUUGUUGCUUCGGCGGGAUUGCCCCGGGCGCCUCGUGUGCCCCGGAUCAGGCGCCCGCCUAGGAAACUUAACUCUUGUUUUAUUUUGGAAUCUUCUGAGUAGUUUUUACAAAUAAAUAAAAACUUUCAACAACGGAUCUCUUGGUUCUGGCAUCGAUGAAGAACGCAGCGAAAUGCGAUAAGUAAUGUGAAUUGCAGAAUUCAGUGAAUCAUCGAAUCUUUGAACGCACAUUGCGCCCGCCAGUAUUCUGGCGGGCAUGCCUGUCUGAGCGUCAUUUCAACCCUCAUGCCCCUAGGGCGUGGUGUUGGGGAUCGGCCAAAGCCCGCGAGGGACGGCCGGCCCCUAAAUCUAGUGGCGGACCCGUCGUGGCCUCCUCUGCGAAGUAGUGAUAUUCCGCAUCGGAGAGCGACGAGCCCCUGCCGUUAAACCCCCAACUUCCAAGGUGACCUCAGAUCAGGUAGAUCCCAC